CUGUGCGUGUGACAGCGGCUA
rnacentral:ncRNA from 4 species